AUAGGCAUGCAGUCGUCAAGUUUCCGACAGCGAGGGAAGUACUGUCUAAACUCUUUAGACCAAUUUUUUGGAAUUGGUUUUACCAAAGCACAUUUCCAUUGGCUAGGAAUUUGACUUAGUUCAAAAGAGUAAUUGAUGAUGUGAGUUAGAGGAUGUAAAAUCCAUGGAAGAGCCAUUUGCAACAUUUUACCUGAUACUCCAUCAAGGCCAGCAGCGUAAGACUUUUGUUUUGAAAUGAGUUCACUAAUCGUGUCAGUAUUUGCGGGAUGAUAAGAAAAUUUUGAGUUGUUAUCAUAAUAUUGAGAUGAGAAUUCGGAUAAAUACUCGACAUAAAUACGGAAAAUUAUAUGGUUAUUCUUAUCUAAGUAGCUACUCGCUGCUUACUUAAUUAAACAGCGCGCUUCAACACUCGAUGCAACACGCAUUUUCAGAUGCGAAGAGGCAAACUCGCAAAUUGCCUCUACAGUAGACGCACAAUUGGUAUCCUUUAAUAUGCAAGCAACCUGCAUUACACUCAUAAACGGUAUGAGUUGAAAAAAGAUCAAAAAUGGGUAUUCGUGUAGUCCUGGUCAAGCCGAUUUUAGCGGAAUUUCUGGAGAAAAAGGGGAGUUGUACCUUCAGAAAGUCAAGCAGAAGUCAUUAGAGUUGACAAAAAUGGGGUGGAAGCGGCCGCUGCUUCUUCAGCUGAUGUUCCCAUAUAUUCGAUAGCUAUGGACAAGUUUGUGGCAGAUCACCCUUUCAUGUUUUAUAUUAAGGUGAAGGGGGUGGUUUUGUUUGAAGGAAGAGUGCUAGAGCCACAAUAUUAGAGUUGUAUGAAAUGUUGUACUGAGUUAAAAAUCUUCAAAAUAAACCUUACUUCGAACUAAAUCUUAUCUGGUGCUUAUUAUUUAUCAUGCUGAAAUUAAGUGACACGUACUUA